GCAGUUCGAGCGAAGCGACGGGAGCUUGCUAUCUAGGUAGCGGCGGACGGGUGAGUAACACGUGGGUAACCUGCCUGUAAGAGUGGGAGAACUCCGGGAAACCGGGGCUAAUACCGGAUGCUUGAUUGAACCGCAUGGUUCAAUUAUAAAAGGUGGCUUUUAGCUACCACUUACAGAUGGACCCGCGGCGCAUUAGCUAGUUGGUGAGGUAACGGCUCACCAAGGCGACGAUGCGUAGCCGACCUGAGAGGGUGAUCGGCCACACUGGGACUGAGACACGGCCCAGACUCCUACGGGAGGCAGCAGUAGGGAAUCUUCCGCAAUGGACGAAAGUCUGACGGAGCAACGCCGCGUGAGUGAUGAAGGUUUUCGGAUCGUAAAACUCUGUUGUUAGGGAAGAACAAGUACCGUUCGAACAGGGCGGUGCCUUGACGGUACCUAACCAGAAAGCCACGGCUAACUACGUGCCAGCAGCCGCGGUAAUACGUAGGUGGCAAGCGUUGUCAGGAAUUAUUGGGCGUAAAGCGCGCGCAGGCGGUUUCUUAAGUCUGAUGUGAAAGCCCCCGGCUCAACCGGGGAGGGUCAUUGGAAACUGGGGAACUUGAGUGCAGAAGAGGAGAGUGGAAUUCCACGUGUAGCGGUGAAAUGCGUAGAGAUGUGGAGGAACACCAGUGGCGAAGGCGACUCUCUGGUCUGUAACUGACGCUGAGGCGCGAAAGCGUGGGGAGCGAACAGGAUUAGAUACCCUGGUAGUCCACGCCGUAAACGAUGAGUGCUAAGUGUUAGAGGGUUUCCGCCCUUUAGUGCUGCAGCAAACGCAUUAAGCACGGUCGUGGGGAUUCAGUUGGGCACUCUAAGGUGACUGCCGGUUAUGACCUGGGCUACACACGUGCUACAAUGGG
rnacentral:rRNA from 1 species